rnacentral:rRNA from 1 species
CCAGGCUGGACAAGCAGGUAGUACGACCCUGAAAGGGGAAGGAGCCCGAAAGGGCAUCCUGCUCAGGUGCUGCAUGGCUGUCGUCAGCUCGUGCCGUGAGGUGUUGGGUUAUGUCCCGCAACGAGCGCAACCCCUGUCUUUAGUUGCCAUCGGGUCAUGCCGGGUACUCUAAAGAGACUGCCCAGGAGAACGGGGAGGAAGGUGGGGAUGACGUCAAGUCAGCAUGGCUUUAUGCCUGGGGCUACACACGUGCUACAAUGACCGGUACAGAGAGCUGCAAACCCGUAAGGGGAAGCUAAUCUCAAAAAACCGGCCUCAGUUCAGAUUGGGGUCUGCAACUCGACCCCAUGAAGCGGAAUCGCUAGUAAUCGCGGAUCAGCACGCCGCGGUGAAUACGUUCCCGGGCCUUGUACACACCGCCCGUCACACCACGAAAGCCCGUUGUACCUGAAGUCGCCGGAGCCAACCCGCAAGGGAGGUAGGCGCCCACGGUAUGGCUGGUGAUUGGGGUG